rnacentral:RNase_P_RNA from 1 species
CGUGCAAGUCGGCUUGUCGCCGUUCCGAUUCUAUCGGAAAGGAGGAAAGUCCGGGCAACACAGAGCGCCAUACUUCCUAACGGGAAGGGUAUUCAUCAGAAAAGGUGGAUAUACAGAAAGUGCCACAGAAAAUAUACCGCCCCGAUAGCUAUAGGGGUAAGGGUGAAAAGGUAGAGUAAG